AGAGUUUGAUCAUGGCUCAGGACGAACGCUGGCGGCGCGCUUAACACAUGCAAGUCGAACGUGAAGCCCGGGCUUGCCCGGGUGGAAAGUGGCGAACGGGUGCGUAACACGUGAGCAACCUGCCCCGAAGACCGGGAUAACACCGGGAAACCGGUGCUAAUACCGGAUGCCCUCAUCACGUCGCAUGGCGAGAUGAGGAAAUGGAUUCCGCUUCGGGAUGGGCUCGCGGCCUAUCAGCUUGUUGGUGGGGUAACGGCUCACCAAGGCUACGACGGGUAGCUGGCCUGAGAGGAUGUCCAGCCACACUGGGACUGAGACACGGCCCAGACUCCUACGGGAGGCAGCAGUGGGGAAUCUUGCACAAUGGGCGAAAGCCUGAUGCAGCGACGCCGCGUGCGGGAUGACGGCCUUCGGGUUGUAAACCGCUUUCAGCAGGGACGAUAAUGACGGUACCUGCAGAAGAAGCCCCGGCCAACUACGUGCCAGCAGCCGCGGUA
rnacentral:rRNA from 1 species